AUUAAAGAUCGUAAUUUAAAGGCAGUACAGAAAUGAAUCAUUGGCCGCGGAAAGUUAAAACUAGAAAGGAAAAAGAAUAACCCGUUAUAUCCCGUACUUGCUCCCCCACCUUUCCUACGCUAUCCACAUCCACAGCCCCCACCUUCUCCUCCAGCGCCCACCGCACCAGAAUUAAAAGAUGAUCCCUCGGGGUCUGGUUUCUUUGAAGAAUAUCAUUAUGAUCCCUCAUUACACACUGAUCCGGGGGAUGACAAAAGUAACGUAAUGGGUGCGGCGGCUGGGUUUCACGAUCCUAGAACCUCCAUUUCACAACGCACUAGAAGUCAAACCCUAUUCCAUCAGCCCCCUAAUCAAAACACCACCUUUCAAUCCCCCUUAAAGUCCCCCAAACCCCCAGGCCCCUUAUUCGAAUGCCCCCUGAUUGAGAUCCCGAAACCCCCGACAUGAUUCAACGCAACCUGCAGGAGCCAAUAACCCCACUACUGUAAUGAUACAUCGUAACUGGGACAUUCAAGAGCUGAAGGACGUUGUGUCCGAAUUGCCUGAUCCCAAAGUCAUCGGUGGGUUUAAAAAAAAAAAAAAAAAAUAAUUCAUAGAACAAUUGCAGCAGCUAUAUGAUAUGUAUAAGCCCAAUGCCACAGAAUGGACUCAGGUGCUGCGGAGAAAGCUUCUCACCACAUGGGCAACUGUAAAUCAUGGACAACAUAACGGAAACCCGUGGCAGUGGAACAAGGCGUUGCCUCAGGGCCGAAAUGAAGGUCCCUUUAUUACGCAAUGGGAGCGUGUUAAAAUAAUGUUAAGGACAAGUAUAAGAAAGGCACAGACUGGUCUCUUAUCUCGGCUGCCAAACAGAAAAAGAA